GCAGCCGCCAUUUCAGGGAGCUUGCCCACGCUGGCUGCCGAAGCCGCCGUCCUGCUCUCCCGCGUGGGCUUCUCUAAUUCCAUCGUGUGUUUUAGAUUCGCUCGGACCUCGCCGUCCCCUGAGCCCGAUAUUCGUGCUGGGCGGUCCCGCGGCCUGGGCCUAGGGACUUAGGAGUAGCAACAGCAGCGGCGGCAGCGGCGGCGGCAGCAGUCACUUCCCGAACAGGAGCGCCACAAGCGCCCGAAAGCCCGCACAGGCGUUUGAGAAAAUGGCAGACGACAUUGAUAUUAAAGCAAUGCUUGAGGCUCCUUACAAGAAAGAUGAGAACAAGUUGAGCAGUGCCAACGGCCAUGAAGAAUGUAGCAAAAAGAGGGAAAAAAGCAAGAGCAGAAGUCGUAGUCAUGAACGAAAGAGAAGCAAAGUAAGGAAUGAAAGUGAAGUAGAGUUGGAGAAAGGAAAAAGAGCAAAAGCCGUGAAAGGCAACGAAGUAGAAGCAAAGAGAGGCGACGGAGCCACUCAGGAAGUCGAGAUCGAAGAUUUAGAGGCCCCUCAGAAGUCCUUACUCCGGACCAAAAUUUAACAGUGCCAUCUGAGGAAAGACUGCAUUGCCUCAUAGCAUCAAAUUAAGCAGACGACGUUCCGGAAGCAAAAGUCCAUUUAGAAAAGACAAGAGCUCUGUGAGGGACCCUACUGAUAAUCUAACUCCUAAGGAAAGACAUGCAAGGACAGUCUACUGUAUGCAGCUGGCGGCAAGAAUUCGACCAAGAGAUUUGGAAGAGUUUUUCUCUACAGUAGGAAAGCUUCCAGAUGUGAGGAUUAUUUCUGAAGGAAAUUCAAGACGUUCAAAAGGAAUUGCUUGUGUGAAGUUCGUCGAUGUUAGCUUAGCUCAGUACUUCUAGCAAUAGGAUUAACUGGCCGACGAGUUUUAGGACUGCCAGUCAUAGUACAGGCAUCACACGCAGAAAAAAACCGAGCUGCAGCAAUGCCAAUUUACAAAAGGAAAGUGCUGGACCUGUGAGGCUUUAUGUGGGCUCGUUACACUUUAACAUAACUGAAGACAGUCUUCGGGGGAUGUUUGAGCCUUUCAAAAGGAUUGAAAGCAUCCAGCUGAUGAUGGACAGUGAAACUGGUCGAUCCAACGGAUAUGGAUUUAUUACAUUUUCUGAUUCAGAAUGUGUCAGAAAGGCUUUGGAACAACUUAAUGGAUUUGAACCUAGCAGGAAGGCCAAUGAGAAGUUGGUCCUGUUACUGAGUGUACUGAUGCUUCAAGCGCUAGUUGAUUUUUGGACAGUAAUGAACUGGAAAGGACUGGAAUUGAUUUGGGAACAACUGGUGGUCUUCAAUUAAUGGCAAGACUUGCAGAGGGUACAGGUUUGCAGAUUCCACCAGCAGCACAGCAAGCUCUACAAAUGAGUGGCUCUUUGGCAUUUGGUGCUGUGGCAGAAUUCUCUUUUGUUACAGAUUUGCAAACAAGGCUUUCUCAGCAGACUGAAGCUUCAGCUUUAGCUGCAGCUGCCUCUGUUCAGCCACUUGCAACACAGUGUUUCCAACCUUCUAACAUGUUUAGUCCUCAAACAGAAGUUGGAUGGGAUACAGAGAUUAAGGACGAUGUGAUCGAAGAUUGUAAUAAACAUGGACGAGUUACUCAUAUUUAUGUUAACCAAAAUUCAGCUCAGGGCAAUGUGUAUGUGAAGUGCCCAUCAAUUGCUGCAGCUAUUGCUGCUGUCAAUGCAUUGCAUGGCAGGUGGUUUGUUGGUAAAAUGAUAACAGCAGCAUAUGUACCUCUUCCAGCUUACCACAACCUGUUUCCUGAUUCUAUGACAGCAACACAACUACUGUUUCCAAGUAGACAAUGAAGGAAGAUAUAGUCCCUUAUGUAUAUAGCUUUUUUCUUUCUCAAGAAUUCAUCUUGAGUUAUCUUUUAUUUAGAUUAAAAAAAAGAGGCAAGGAUCUACCGUCAUUUGUAUACAAUUCCUGUUACCUUGAAAAAAUAAAAAAAUUAACAGGAAUGCAGUGUGCUCAUUCUCCCUAAAUAGCAAAUCCCACUGUAUACAAAA